UACGUAGGGAGCAAGCGUUGUCCGGAAUCAUUGGGCGUAAAGCGCGCGUAGGCGGCCCUGUAAGUCCGUUGUGAAAGUCAAAGGCUCAACCUUUGAAAGCCGAUGGAUACUGCAGGGCUAGAGUCCGGAAGAGGCGAGUGGAAUUCCUGGUGUAGCGGUGGAAUGCGCAGAUAUCAGGAGGAACACCGAUGGCGAAGGCAGCUCGCUGGGACGGUACUGACGCUGAGGCGCGAAAGCGUGGGGAGCGAACAGG
rnacentral:rRNA from 1 species